rnacentral:rRNA from 1 species
GAGUUUGAUCAUGGCUCAGAUUGAACGCUGGCGGCAUGCCUUACACAUGCAAGUCGAACGGCAGCAUGAUCUAGCUUGCUAGAUUGAUGGCGAGUGGCGAACGGGUGAGUAAUACAUCGGAACGUGCCCUGUAGUGGGGGAUAACUAGUCGAAAGAUUAGCUAAUACCGCAUACGACCUGAGGGUGAAAGUGGGGGACCGCAAGGCCUCAUGCUAUAGGAGCGGCCGAUGUCUGAUUAGCUAGUUGGUGGGGUAAAGGCCCACCAAGGCGACGAUCAGUAGCUGGUCUGAGAGGACGAUCAGCCACACUGGGACUGAGACACGGCCCAGACUCCUACGGGAGGCAGCAGUGGGGAAUUUUGGACAAUGGGCGAAAGCCUGAUCCAGCAAUGCCGCGUGUGUGAAGAAGGCCUGG